AGUUGGCUCAGUGGUAGAGUGCUUGCCUUGCAUGCAUGAGGCCCUGGGUUCGAUUCCUCAGCACUA
rfam:Dipodomys ordii contig_48074, whole genome shotgun sequence.